UACGGAGGGGGCUAGCGUUGUUCGGAAUUACUGGGCGUAAAGCGCACGUAGGCGGCUUUGCAAGUCAGAGGUGAAAGCCCGGGGCUCAACCCCGGAAUUGCCUUUGAGACUGCAUCGCUAGAAUUGUGGAGAGGUAAGUGGAAUUCCGAGUGUAGAGGUGAAAUUCGUAGAUAUUCGGAAGAACACCAGUGGCGAAGGCGACUUACUGGACACAUAUUGACGCUGAGGUGCGAAAAGCUAGGGGAGCAAACAGG
rnacentral:rRNA from 1 species